rnacentral:rRNA from 1 species
UGGGGAAUAUUGCACAAUGGGCGCAAGCCUGAUGCAGCCAUGCCGCGUGUGUGAAGAAGGCCUUCGGGUUGUAAAGCACUUUCAGCGAGGAGGAAGGUGGUGAGCUUAAUACGCUCAUCAAUUGACGUUACUCGCAGAAGAAGCACCGGCUAACUCCGUGCCAGCAGCCGCGGUAAUACGGAGGGUGCAAGCGUUAAUCGGAAUUACUGGGCGUAAAGCGCANCAGGCGGUUUGUUAAGUCAGAUGUGAAAUCCCCGGGCUCAACCUGGGAACUGCAUUUGAAACUGGCAAGCUAGAGUCUCGUAGAGGGGGGUAGAAUUCCAGGUGUAGCGGUGAAAUGCGUAGAGAUCUGGAGGAAUACCGGUGGCGAAGGCGGCCCCCCUGGACGAAGACUGACGCUCAGGUGCGAAAGCGUGGGGCAGCAAACAGGAUUAGAUACCCUGGUAGUCCA